UACGAAGGGGGCUAGCGUUGUUCGGAAUUACUGGGCGUAAAGCGCACGUAGGCGGACUCUUAAGUCAGGGGUGAAAUCCCGGGGCUCAACCUCGGAACUGCCUUUGAUACUGUGAGUCUCGAGACCGGAAGAGGUGAGUGGAAUUCCUAGUGUAGAGGUGAAAUUCGUAGAUAUUAGGAAGAACACCGGUGGCGAAGGCGGCUCACUGGCCCGGUACUGACGCUGAGGUGCGAAAGCGUGGGGAGCAAACAGG
rnacentral:rRNA from 1 species